UGGGGUAUAGCUCAGUGGUAGAGCUUAGCAUGCAUAAGGUCCUGGGUUCAAUCCCCAGUCCCUCCA
rnacentral:tRNA from 1 species